AGAGUUUGAUCAUGGCUCAGAUUGAACGCUGGCGGCAGGCCUAACACAUGCAAGUCGAGCGGAUGAAGGGAGCUUGCUCCUGGAUUCAGCGGCGGACGGGUGAGUAAUGCCUAGGAAUCUGCCUGGUAGUGGGGGAUAACGUCCGGAAACGGGCGCUAAUACCGCAUACGUCCUGAGGGAGAAAGUGGGGGAUCUUCGGACCUCACGCUAUCAGAUGAGCCUAGGUCGGAUUAGCUAGUUGGUGGGGUAAAGGCCUACCAAGGCGACGAUCCGUAACUGGUCUGAGAGGAUGAUCAGUCACACUGGAACUGAGACACGGUCCAGACUCCUACGGGAGGCAGCAGUGGGGAAUAUUGGACAAUGGGCGAAAGCCUGAUCCAGCCAUGCCGCGUGUGUGAAGAAGGUCUUCGGAUUGUAAAGCACUUUAAGUUGGGAGGAAGGGCAGUAAGUUAAUACCUUGCUGUUUUGACGUUACCAACAGAAUAAGCACCGGCUAACUUCGUGCCAGCAGCCGCGGUAAUACGAAGGGUGCAAGCGUUAAUCGGAAUUACUGGGCGUAAAGCGCGCGUAGGUGGUUCAGCAAGUUGGAUGUGAAAUCCCCGGGCUCAACCUGGGAACUGCAUCCAAAACUACUGAGCUAGAGUACGGUAGAGGGUGGUGGAAUUUCCUGUGUAGCGGUGAAAUGCGUAGAUAUAGGAAGGAACACCAGUGGCGAAGGCGACCACCUGGACUGAUACUGACACUGAGGUGCGAAAGCGUGGGGAGCAAACAGGAUUAGAUACCCUGGUAGUCCACGCCGUAAACGAUGUCGACUAGCCGUUGGGAUCCUUGAGAUCUUAGUGGCGCAGCUAACGCGAUAAGUCGACCGCCUGGGGAGUACGGCCGCAAGGUUAAAACUCAAAUGAAUUGACGGGGGCCCGCACAAGCGGUGGAGCAUGAGGUUUAAUUCGAAGCAACGCGAAGAACCUUACCUGGCCUUGACAUGCUGAGAACUUUCCAGAGAUGGAUUGGUGCCUUCGGGAACUCAGACACAGGUGCUGCAUGGCUGUUGUCAGCUCGUGUCGUGAGAUGUUGGGUUAAGUCCCGUAACGAGCGCAACCCUUGUCCUUAGUUACCAGCACCUCGGGUGGGCACUCUAAGGAGACUGCCGGUGACAAACCGGAGGAAGGUGGGGAUGACGUCAAGUCAUCAUGGCCCUUACGGCCAGGGCUACACACGUGCUACAAUGGUCGGUACAAAGGGUUGCCAAGCCGCGAGGUGGAGCUAAUCCCAUAAAACCGAUCGUAGUCCGGAUCGCAGUCUGCAACUCGACUGCGUGAAGUCGGAAUCGCUAGUAAUCGUGAAUCAGAAUGUCACGGUGAAUACGUUCCCGGGCCUUGUACACACCGCCCGUCACACCAUGGGAGUGGGUUGCUCCAGAAGUAGCUAGUCUAACCGCAAGGGGGACGGUUACCACGGAGUGAUUCAUGACUGGGGUGAAGUCGUAACAAGGUA
rnacentral:rRNA from 1 species